UGGGAUGAACAAGCGGCUCCUCCCUCCUACAGAACAGCCUCAAAUUCAGAGAUCUACCAGCCUCUGCCUUCCCAGUGCCAGGAUUAAAGAUGUGUUCCACCACACCAAACUCUAUGCUUGCAGGGUCUGGACUUCUAUCCGUGGAUCUUCAGGAAUUAUCAGAACUUACCAGAAGUCCUUCCCACAGUCAAUACAGGAGAGACAUUCACAGUUUCGGCAGGCAGACACGUGCUUUUCCACCUGCGCUUUCUUCACUGAUUCGCCACACG